rnacentral:lncRNA from 1 species
CAAGUUUCUUAGGUAUUUGAUACUAGAUGUAGAUCUCAUAUUUAUACGAAUAUGGAGAAACUAAAUAGAAGUAGACCAGUGCGAAAGGGAGAAGUUGACCUACAGGUUGAAGAUGAGCAAAGGUUGUUGCAUUACCAGUAGGAAUAUACUUCUUGCCAUUGCCUUUUGGUUUAGUAUUGGAAUUAGAGAAAUGUCGUUUUGUACCCACUAUAGCUGGAACAUUAAAAUGAAUUUCAUGUUUGGACAUAAACUAUUUUAAUAUUAAGGACAAUUGUUGUUUUUAUUUAUCUUGAUAAAGAUCCUAAUGGCUCUAGUAUAUUAAAGAAUAUAAACAAUUUUUGUUUAUAUUCUUUAAUAUAAAGGAUUCUAUAAUAAGUAUAGAAAUUAUAAGGCAUAAAUGCGAUAAUCUAAUUAUUACCGAAAUCUGGCAUGACAGACUUUGCCAUAUAGAUGAAAUGCAAUAUUACAUAGAGAUGUGUAUGUGGAGUCAAUUGAUUUUGAAUCAUUUGACAAGUGCAUAUCAUGCCUAUUAGGCACAAUGACCAAAUCUCAUUUCAGUUGAAAGGGAGAAAUGUCUGUAUAAAUAUUUGCAUGAUACAUAGUGAUGUAUGUGGACCUAUGUCAAUUAAUGUCAGAUGAGGUUUCUCUUAUGUCAGCAAUUAUCAUGUAUACUUGAUGAAAUUCAAACAUGAAGUUCUUGAAAGGUUCAAAUGAUUCAAGCUAGAAGUAGAGAAAUAAAUAGGAAAAGAUACCCUCACAUUAAGAUCCAAUCGAAGUGAGAGUAUUUUAAAGAUAAAAUCUAGAUUAUUUAAGAGAGAAUGAGAUUCUCUUACAGUGGACUCAUUCACAUACACUGCAGCAUAGUGGUCUAUCUAAAAGGAGAAAUUAUUAAUUAUUAAAUAUAGUGCGAUUAUUAGCAAGCCAUGCAAAUCUCCAAAAAUUGUUUUGGGAUCAUGCACUGAUUGCAGUGUGUAACACACAAAAACAUGUCACAUCUAAGUUGAUUAACAGAACUCCAUACAAGUUAUGAAAAGGCAAUAGUCCCAAGUUAUCUCAUAUGAAAGUUUUGGGCCAUAACGCUUAUUUGAAGUGCUUUAAAUCGGAUAAAUUUGAGACUAAAUCUGAUAAAUACAUAUUUGUGGGAUAUUUAAAGCUGAUAUUUGAGUAUAAAUUCUAUUAUCGUGAAGAAAGUCUUCAUCUCACGACAUAUCGUCUUCUUAGAAAAAAUAUUUACUCUAGGGGAGAACAGUGUGAGCAAAAUAGAAUAUGAAAAAGUUCAAGAGUCCACAAAUAUAGUUAGCCAAGUAGAUGAAUCCGAGUUUGAUCCCAUAUCUGAUAUGGGACAUACUUUUGA